rnacentral:tRNA from 4 species
GCGGGCGUGGUGGAAUUGGUAGACGCGCCGGACUCAAAAUCCGGUUCCGCAAGGAGUGUGGGUUCGAUUCCCACCGCCCGCACCA